CCACACGUGUCAGGGGCCCUGUAGUGACCGCAUGCCAGCCUCCCGGGCACCCCGAUGAUGCCAGCACUGGGCGCUGACUCCCCGUGAAGGACAGACCAAGUGCCCCCUGGACUCCCAGGGGUCUGAGGGGCUCGGGCAGGGCAGGACCUGUGGCUGAUUGCAAUCUAGGGUUUGGGAGGGGCACCCCCAGUCCUGAGUCUGGAAGUCUGCUCCCUGCCGGUCACUUUCCUUGAGAGAUGCCUGUACCCAUCGUCCUCUCCCUUGGGCUCAGGGUGCCAGGGCCUGUGGAGGGGACGUGAGCCCAGAGUGGGGAUAUGUAGGGUGCGGGUCCCUCCUGCCCCGUUGCACGGUGUGUAAGGGGGAGCUGAGCUCACCCGGGGGAGCCGAAGUGGCCCGUCUGCAGCCCUGAGUCUGCCCUUCCGGGCCUCGGUCAUCACGUAUCAUGGUCUGGGCCUGCUCUCGCCCUUUCUGCAUUUGCCUGUUUCUGGUCUUUGUGGGGGAGCCCGUCUGCAGCUGUGUGUGUGUGGGCGCGCGCGCGCUUGUGUGUGUACUUGUGCGCGGGCACUGUUUGUGUUGGGGGGUUGUAUGCGCUGGGGCAUGUGGGGGGGUGUCUGUCCCUGUCGCUGACCACCCUGCUCUGCCCAGACCUGCCUCCCUUCCUCUCUGGUCACAGCUGUGCACAUCUCCCCCCCCCACACACACACACAGAAAUCGCCUCCAUCACCUCGCACACAUGGUCGGUCCGUCCCUCGCAUUGUAGGUGGCUGCCCUGCUUCAGGUAACAAACGUUUGUGGAGCACCUACUGUGUGCCAGGCACUACGCUAAGUGGUCCACCAAUAUUGUGAUCCUCAGAACAGCCUUGGGAGGUGGGUGCUAUUAUCAUCUCCAUUUUACAGAUGAGGAGACUGAGGCAGAGAAGAAGCACUUGUCUCAAGUCAUGAAGCUAGGGGAUGUCUGAGGCUGGAUUAGAGUUCGGGUCUUCCAGACUCCAGGCCUGGCGCUCUGUGCCCCAUGGCACCUCCAGCAGCUUUCUCCCAUCUUUGCCCAGGUGAUGGUGGAUGGCGCUAACCCUCACCCCCUGCCCCAGAGGUUCCAGCGAGCCCUCUGAGCCGCUCCCACACCCCCUCUGAUGAAGCCUUAACGAUGACUGAGAAACCUCUGAAUGAACUCUGGAGGAGAGAACCCUUGGAGAAGGGGUGUUGAGGAAUGUCCAUCGUGGGACCUUUGAAAACCAGGCCGUCCAGAGGCGGGGAGCCGGGACUGUCGCCGAGCAAGCUUGCUAGUGGGCCCGGUGCUGUAGCGAGGUCCAAAGGGGUGGGCGCUGCUGCUGUUACAGAAAAUAAAUUACUUUGCAAACAA